GAUGAACGCUGGCGGCGUGCCUAAUACAUGCAAGUCGAGCGAACAGACGAGGAGCUUGUUCCUCUGACGUUAGCGGCGGACGGGUGAGUAACACGUGGAUAACCUACCUAUAAGACUGGGAUAACUUCGGGAAACCGGAGCUAAUACCGGAUAAUAUUUUGAACCGCUUGGUUCAAUAGUGAAAGACGGUUUUGCUGUCACUUAUGGAUGGAUCCGCGCCGCAUUAGCUAGUUGGUAAGGUAACGGCUUACCAAGGCAACGAUGAGUAGCCGACCUGAGAGGGUGGUAGGCCGCCUGAGAACUGAGACACGGUGGAGACUCCUACGGAGGGCAGCAGUAGGGAAUCUUAUGCCAUGGUGGAAGGCCGGACGAUGCAGCGCCGCGUCAGUAAUGAAGGUCUUCGGAGCGUAGUACUCUGUUAUUGGGGGAGAACAAAUGUGUAAGUAACUAUGCACGUCUUGACGGUACCUGAUCAGGAAGCCACGGCUAACUACGUG
rnacentral:rRNA from 1 species